rnacentral:lncRNA from 1 species
CAAAAAUGCUUGCAGCAAAGAUAUCUGUGGGGAAAGAGGCUUACAGGGAAAAUACCAGACAUGCUGGAGGGCACCCGCCCUGCCUGGGGAGCACACCUCCUGUUCCCCCUACUCUGAGUGUGGGAAUGAUGGCCCAAGGUUGGCAUGUCUGAUUUUUCAAAUGAAGCUGGAGAGUCAGGUUUUUACUUCAAACCUCUUAGUUUUCAAAUAUUGGCCAUGGUUUUAAUCAGCAGCAGCAUCAUCACUGUGCAGGCCAACUCUCCAGGUGACCCCCAGUGUGCCAGGCUGCACGUGACCCACAGCUCACUGCAUUGCAGCCUGGUUCUGAGCAGCUUGCCAGCCGGCGAGAGUAUUUGGUGCUGGCAACAAGAGAGACCAGUUACUGGGGCUUGCACCAAUUAGGGACUGAUUUCUUGACAUUAAAAAAAGCCCAGAGUGGGUAGUCCAGGACUGGUAUGUUGAGCCCCUGAAUGGGUUCACCAAGCACCCAUGCACCUUUGUUUUUCAAGAGAACAUGAAAUUUCAGUCAUUGCUCAAAUACUAAUGUUUGCUUCAUUGAUAUCAAAAUUUUACCUAAGCCCUGUUUCCAUGCCUUUCUGUGUUCCCGUGAAGUUUUUUUUCAAUGUUGAACCAUAGCAUAAUUUUAGGAGGACAUUAUAAACAAUUAAACUCCACAUGUAGGCACCAUUAGCACUCACAGCACAACUGAAGUAAGGCAGCUUGAACACCUACGACCACGGGUGCUCACAUUCAGCCAGUGACAACUCUGCAGUGACUGCUGCCUGGUUGACAUCAACUCCAAGAUGCAUCCUGACUUUAGAGAUGCGAUACUGUGAAAAAAGAAUUUGUCUUAGAAUCAACAAAAUGUGUUUUAUUUGGGGUCGACUCUGGGGAUGAAAUCUACUCUGAGACCCUGGGUGCUGGACCCCAUCCCUGCCACCCACUCCAUCUUUUCCUGCUUUGGUUUCCUUCCCUAGACUGUCUUUCAAUUCUAUUCCAAGUGGGCCAGUCCAGUUCCUGGUUUCAGCUGGAUCCUUGGUAUCUGCAGUGAGGACGCAAGGAAAGAACAAAGCUUUCCCCAAAGGCUCAAAUCCCAGCUUUGCCACUCAGAGCUGUGUGACCCUGGACCAGUUGCCUGACAUUGGCGAAAAUCAUUUCCCUCAUUUGCAAAAUGACCUCACUCAACUACCCAUUUUCUAUUUCCUUUACUCACUGGGGAAAAGCCCAACAACUUACAACACAUGGAUUGUGCUCUCACUGAUCUGGGCUCCUUGGAGGUUUAUCUUUUAUCUUAAGUUAUAUCUCAGAGGGACAUCAGCAUCAUGGUGGAGUGAGUUCUUCCCUUAGUCUCUCCCUUCUAAGUUACAACUAGACCUUCAUUAAUUAGCAGAAGAUUCCCUGCACAGCACAACAGGACAUCUGAGAGAUCCAUGCAGCUGUGCAUCUGAAGGUGGGUGGACUGGAUCCCCAGGAGGCAGUGGAACUAGGUGAGUGUGCUCCUCCCCUUCCCCAGCAGCAGUGAGUCAGGUCGUGGGUGGCCAGCAUGACUGUAAGAGGAGGCAGGGAGAGCCCAGCCUGCAUGAAUGUUUUUGGAGUUGUGGCCUGGCCCACAGGAGCACCCACCCUGCUGGGGUAGCCCCACCAGAGGGCAUGCUCUAUACCAAGUGGUGGUGGCUCAGUCCCUGCAAGGGCGCCCACCUGUUGAGCACUGUGUAGGCAGGAACGUGCUCUGCCUGCUCAGAAGGCACUCCAAUCUGCAGAGCACAGCAGCCCCUGGGACCUGCCAAGUGGCAGCUCUGCACCCGCCUGGGUACCCAAUGCCCCUAGGGCAGCACAAGAGAUAAGGCAUCCCACUCACUCAGCAGGUGCCCCUGCAAGUGGAGCAUAGCAGCCCAUGGGUUCCACUGAAUGGCAGCUCAGCCCCUGCAUAGGCUCCCCUCCUGCCUAGUGUGCAGCAGCUCUACUGGUCCCCUGCCAAGCACAGAGGGCCUGCCUCUGGUGCCUGACCCAC